GCCAGACUCCUACGGGAGGCAGCAGUGGGGAAUAUUGCACAAUGGGCGAAAGCCUGAUGCAGCAACGCCGCGUGAAGGAAGAAGGGUUUCGGCUCGUAAACUUCUAUCAACAGGGACGAAAGAAAUGACGGUACCUGAAUAAGAAGCCCCGGCUAACUACGUGCCAGCAGCCGCGGUAAUACGUAGGGGGUAAGCGUUAUCCGGAAUUACUGGGUGUAAAGGGAGCGUAGGCGGCCUGCCAAGUCUGAUGUGAAAUACCGGGGCUCAACCCCGGGGCUACAUUGGAAACUGGCAGGCUGGAGUGCCGGAGAGGCAGGCGGAAUUCCUAGUGUAGCGGUGAAAUGCGUAGAUAUUAGGAGGAACGCCAGUGGCGAAGGCGGCCUGCUGGACGGUGACUGACGCUGAGGCUCGAAAGCGUGGGGAGCAAACAGGAUUAGAUACCCUAGUA
rnacentral:rRNA from 1 species